rnacentral:rRNA from 1 species
CCCCGUAAGGCUAAAUACUCCUUAGUGACCGAUAGCGCAUAGUACUGUGAAGGAACGGUGAAAAGGACCCCGGGAGGGGAGUGAAACAGAACCUGAAACCAUAUGUUUACAAGCUGUGGAACCAUGUUUUAUGUGGAACCGCGUACUUUUUGUAGAACGGUCCGGCGAGUUGCGCUGGCUGGCGAGGUUAAGCACCAAAGGUGUGGAGCCGAAGGGAAACCAAGUCUUAAUAGGGCGAAUGAGUCAGUCGGAGCAGACCCGAAACCGGGUGAUCUAUCCAUGUCCAGGUUGAAGUUGCCGUAAAAGGCAAUGGAGGACCGAACCCACAUCCGUUGAAAAGGGUGGGGAUGAGGUGUGGAUAGGGGAGAAAUUCCAAUCGAACCCGGAGAUAGCUGGUUCUCCUCGAAAUAGCUUUAGGGCUAGCCUCAUAUAAGUCUUGCGGAGGUAGAGCACUGAAUUUCCUAGGGGGCGUCAAAGCUUACCGAAGAAUAUCAAACUCCGAAUGCCGUGUAGAUGUUGUAUGGGAGUCAGACUGUACGAGAUAAGUUGGACAGUCAAAAGGGAAAGAGCCCAGACCUGCAGCUAAGGCCCCAAAAUGUGUGUUAAGUGGAAAAGGAUGUGGGAUUUCAAAGACAACUAGGAUGUUGGCUUAGAAGCAGCCAUACAUUCAAAGAGUGCGUAAUAGCUCACUAGUCGAGAGGUCCUGCGCCGAAAAUGUCCGGGGCUGAAACACACUGCCGAAGCUCAGGAAUGUACCUAGUACAUUGGUAGAGGAGCAUUGUAUACGGGACGAAGCAGUACCGAUAAGGAGCUGUGGACUGUAUAGAAGAGAGAAUGCCGGAAUGAGUAGCGAGAGGAAGGUGAGAAUCCUUCCGGCCGAAUAUCUAAGGUUUCCAGAGUAAAGCUGAUCUGCUCUGGGUAAGUCGGGGCCUAAGGCCAGGUCGAAAGACGUAACCGAUGGACAACAGGUUGAAAUUCCUGUACCUUAAGUAAACAGAACUGUGGGGACACGUGUGGAGAGCACAAGCCGGAAAUGGAAAAGCCGGUGCAAGCGAGGUAGGAGAUGAAUAGGCAAAUCCGUUCAUCAAUCCGAAGACGUGAUGCGGACCGAAUUAAGAGUAGGGAAGUGUGUGAGCCAUGCGUCAAGAAAAGCCGCUAUUGUUUUACUUAAGCCCGUACCGUAAACCGACACAGGUGGAUGAGGAGAGAAUCCUAAGGCCGACGGGAGAAGCAUUGUUAAGGAACUCGGCAAAAUGACUCCGUAACUUCGGGAGAAGGAGUGCCAGCGAGAGCUGGCCGCAGAGAAUUGGCCCAAGCAACUGUUUAGCAAAAACACAGGUCUAUGCAAAACCGUAAGGUGAAGUAUAUGGGCUGACGCCUGCCCGGUGCUGGAAGGUUAAGAGGAGAGGUUAGCGCAAGCGAAGCUUUGAAUUUAAGCCCCAGUAAACGGCGGCCGUAACUAUAACGGUCCUAAGGUAGCGAAAUUCCUUGUCGGGU